CUCUCUGGAGAAGCUCACUUGUGAGUGCCGAAGGUGCAAGGCGACAGCCGAAUCUCUCAGGCAAAAGGACAGAGA
rnacentral:ncRNA from 1 species